rnacentral:rRNA from 1 species
UACGUAGGUGGCAAGCGUUGUCCGGAUUUACUGGGCGUAAAGAGCGCGCAGGCGGUCGUUCAAGUCGCGUGUGAAAGCCCCCCGGCUCAACUGGGGAGGGUCACGCGAUACUGAUCGACUCGAAGGCAGGAGAGGGUAGUGGAAUUCCCGGUGUAGUGGUGAAAUGCGUAGAUAUCGGGAGGAACACCAGUGGCGAAGGCGACUACCUGGCCUGUUCUUGACGCUGAGGCGCGAAAGCUAGGGGAGCAACGGGAUUAGAAACCCUUG